rnacentral:rRNA from 1 species
AGAGUUUGAUCAUGGCUCAGAACGAACGCUGGCGGCAUGCCUAACACAUGCAAGUCGAACGCUUUGGGGGCUUCGGCCCUCAAGGAGUGGCGCACGGGUGAGUAGCGCGUGGGAACCUGCCCUUUUGUGGGGGAUAACCGAGGGAAACUUCGGCUAAUACCGCAUGCGCCCCUGGGGCGACCUGGGGGGAAAGAUUGAUC